CAGGUUAAUUUUUAGUUAAAAAUUUCAUUUACAUUGAUAAUUAUAUCGUUCAAUUCGGUAUAACUUGU
rnacentral:tRNA from 1 species